rnacentral:rRNA from 1 species
CAGUAGCCACGGGAAUACGAAGGGUGCAAGCGUUAAUCGGAAUUACUGGGCGUAAAGCGUGCGUAGGCGGUGAGUUAAGUCUGCUGUGAAAUCCCCGGGCUCAACCUGGGAAUGGCAAUGGAUACUGGCAAGCUAGAGUGUGUCAGAGGAUGGUGGAAUUCCCGGUGUAGCGGUGAAAUGCGUAGAGAUCGGGAGGAACAUCAGUGGCGAAGGCGGCCAUCUGGGACAACACUGACGCUGAGGCACGAAAGCGUGGGGAGCAAACAGGAUUAGAUACCCCCGUAGUCCCUGUCUCUUAUAC